UGCAAGUCGAACGAGAAAUUCUGGCUUCGGCCGGGAGAGUAAAGUGGCGCACGGGUGAGUAACGCGUGGGUAAUCUGUCCUCGAAUCUGGGAUAACUUCGCGAAAGCGAUGCUAAUACCGGAUAUUGUCCAUGAGACUUUGGUUUUUUGGAUGAAAGGUGACCUCUUCAUGAAAGUUGCCGUUGGAGGAGGAGCCCGCGUACCAUUAGCUUGUUGGUGGGGUAAUGGCCUACCAAGGCGACGAUGGUUAGCUGGUCUGAGAGGAUGAUCAGCCACACUGGAACUGAAACACGGUCCAGACUCCUACGGGAGGCAGCAGUGAGGAAUUUUGCGCAAUGGGGGAAACCCUGACGCAGCAACGCCGCGUGAGUGAUGAAGACCCUCGGGUCGUAAAGCUCUGUCAAGUGGGAAAAAAUACUUUCGGUUAAUACCCGGAAGGACUGAUGGUACCACUGGAGGAAGCACCGGCUAACUCCGUGCCAGCAGCCGCGGUAAUACGGAGGGUGCAAGCGUUGUUCGGAAUUACUGGGCGUAAAGGGCGUGUAGGCGGUUUGGUAAGUCAGAUGUGAAAGCCCUGAGCUCAACUCAGGAAGUGCA
rnacentral:rRNA from 1 species